rnacentral:pre_miRNA from 1 species
GAAAUAUAAAAAUCUGUCUUUUAAUUUUUAACUAAAAAGAUAAGAACCGUCUCUUAAAACUCUUAUUUAAUAGUCGGUUCUUAGCUUUUUCAGUUAAAAGUUAAGAGACGGAUUCUUAUAUUCU